GCCGGAGUGGCGAAAUGGCAGACGCGGGCGACUUAAAAUCGCCUGGGCAACCCCCGUGCGGGUUCGAGUCCCGCCUCCGGCACCA
rnacentral:tRNA from 2 species